rnacentral:rRNA from 1 species
GACGAACGCUGGCGGCGUGCUUAACACAUGCAAGUCGAACGGUGAAGCGCCUUCCUUUUUGGUGGGUGUGGAUGAGUGGCGAACGGGUGAGUAACACGUGAGUAACCUGCCCCCUUCUUCUGGAUAACCGCAUGAAAGUGUGGCUAAUACGGGAUAUUCUGGGUCUGUCGCAUGAUGGGUCUGGGAAAGAUAUUGUUUCGGUGGGGGAUGGGCUCGCGGCCUAUCAGCUUGUUGGUGGGGUGAUGGCCUACCAAGGCGGUGACGGGUAGCCGGCCUGAGAGGAUGGACGGUCACACGGGGAAUGAGAAACGGCCCAGACUCCUACGGGAGGCAGCAGUGGGGAAUAUUGCACAAUGGGCGCAAGCCUGAUGCAGCGACGCCGAGUGAGAGAUGGAGGCCUUCGGGUUGUGAACAUCUUUCGCCAGUGAAGCAGGCCUGCCUCGUUUGUGGGUGGGUUGACGGUAGCUGGAGAAGAAGCGCCGGCUAACUACGUG